AUCACCAUGUACGUGUGAAAUUGGGACCAUCAGUGUGUUGUGCAGAAGUCCGGCGGAUACACAGCCGAAAGCACUAUUGGACAACGGUUAGAAUUCAUAUUAUGGCAAGAACCAAUUAGCUAAGUAAAGAGAAACAAUGGCCAUC